UACGUAGGGCGCAAGCGUUGUCCGGAAUUAUUGGGCGUAAAGAGCUCGUAGGCGGCCAGUUGCGUCCGCUGUGAAAUCCCGGGGCUUAACCCCGGGCGUGCAGUGGAUACGGGCUGACUAGAGGUAGGUAGGGGAGAAUGGAAUUCCUGGUGUAGCGGUGAAAUGCGCAGAUAUCAGGAGGAACACCGGUGGCGAAGGCGGUUCUCUGGGCCUUACCUGACACUGAGGAGCGAAAGCGUGGGGAGCGAACAGG
rnacentral:rRNA from 1 species